rnacentral:rRNA from 1 species
UNUGCUGUGAAAGGCCGGGGCUUAANUCCGGUUUUGCAGUGGGUACGGGCUAACUAGAGUGCAGUAGGGGAGACUGGAAUUCCUGGUGUAGCGGUGGAAUGCACAGAUAUCUGGAGGAACACCGAUGGCGAAGGCAGGUCUCUGGGCUGUAACUGACGCUGAGAAGCAAAAGCAUGGGGAGCGAACAGGAUUAGAUACCCUGGUAGUCCAUGCCGUAAACGUUGGGCACUAGGUGUGGGGGACAUUCCACGUUUUCCGCGCCGUAGCUAACACAUUAAGUGCCCCGCCUGGGGAGUACGGCCGCAAGGCUAAAACUCAAAGGAAUUGACGGGGGCCCGCACAAGCGGCGGAGCAUGCGGAUUAAUUCGAUGCAACGCGAAGAACCUUACCAAGGCUUGACAUGCAUUAGAUCGCGUCAGAGAUGGCGUUUCCCUUCGGGGCUGGUGUACAGGUGGUGCAUGGUUGUCGUCAGCUCGUGUCGUGAGAUGUUGGGUUAAGUCCCGCAACAAGCGCAACCCUCGUUCUAUGUUGCCAGCGGUUCGGCCGGGGACUCAUAGGAGAUUGCCGGGGUCAACUCGGAGGAAGGUGGGGAUGACGUCAAAUCAUCAUGCCCCUUAUGUCUUGGGCUUCACGCAUGCUACAAUGGCCGGUACAGAGGGUUGCGAUACUGUGAGGUGGAGCUAAUCCCUUAAAGCCGGUCUCAGUUCGGAUUGGGGUCUGCA